rnacentral:lncRNA from 1 species
CCUGAGGGCAUGCAAGGAAGAUACUCUUGUCCCUUUCAGUGUUUCUCUGUGCUGUCUGUCACUCCAGGUCUGCUUUGGAGACUUCCCGACAGUGCCCAAGCUUAUUCCUCCGCUGAAGGCCCUGUUUGCAGAUGACAUUGAAGAGAUGGUGGAACGCAGGGAGAAGAGGGAGCUACGGCUGGUGCGGGCAGCCCUCCUGACUCAGCAGGCAGACAGCUCAGAGGACAGAGAACCCCACCAGAAGCGGGCCCACUCAGAGGAACCACACAGCCCACAGAGCAAGAAGGUCAGAGCCCAGUGAAGGUCUAAACCAUCCUGGACUGAAGUCUGUGUUCUCUGCCCUGUGUGGAAGCCACAUCUGUCAUCUUGGGAGCCAGCGCACACAAUCUAGCCAGGAGGAACAUGGAAUCAUGUUCAUGCAGCCCUCCAUGGCCUUGGCUAGGGAGCACCCAUCUGCCAGGUGCCUCUGACAUCUGGAGGAGAGCACAGUGGCAGGACAGGAGACUCCUCAGUCGAAGACAGCAAGCCAGUCUUUAAAGAUGUCAUGGAAAUUGAGGUGUCUGUCCCUCACUUACUAGCACAGGGGUUCUCUCUGCAUGCCAGAGUCAAGCCAUGUUACAAGUGACAUUGGGUGUAUAUGUCUCAGGCUCCAAGAAUAGUAUUUGCAAGGACUCAGACUCAAUAAAGCUCGAGUUUGG